rnacentral:rRNA from 1 species
UCCGUAGGUGAACCUGCGGAGGGAUCAUUACAGAGUUCAUGCCCCUUACGGGUAGUUCUCCCACCCUAUGUUAUCAUUACCUUUGUUGCUUUGGCGGGCCGCCAGGCCCUGGUCAGGCUACCGGCUCCGGCUGGUAAGCGCCCGCCAGAGGACCCCAAACGCUGAAUGUUAGUGUUGUCUGAGUAUUAUAUAAUAGUUAAAACUUUCAACAACGGAUCUCUUGGUUCUGGCAUCGAUGAAGAACGCAGCGAAAUGCGAUAAGUAAUGUGAAUUGCAGAAUUUAGUGAAUCAUCGAAUCUUUGAACGCACAUUGCGCCCCUUGGUAUUCCGAGGGGCAUGCCUGUUCGAGCGUCAUUACAACCCUCAAGCAAUGCUUGGUAUUGGGCUUCGCUGCUCACGUAGCGGGCCUUAAAAUCAGUGGCGGUGCCGUCGGGCCCUGAGCGCAGUAAAUAUCCUCGCUACAGGGACUCGGUGGACGCUGGCCAUCAACCCCCCCACCUCCUCUCAGUUUGAUCCCUCGGAUCAGGUAGGGAUACCCGCUGAACUUAAGCAUAUCAAUAAGGCGGGAGGGGAAGGUCGGACUGGCCAAGGGCACACAGGGGGGGAUA